ACUCCUACGGGGCGCAGCAGUGGGGAAUAUUGCACAAUGGGGGAAACCCUGAUGCAGCGACGCCGCGUGAAGGAUGAAGUAUUUCGGUAUGUAAACUUCUAUCAGCAGGGAAGAAAAUAACGGUACCUGACUAAGAAGCCCCGGCUAACUACGUGCCAGCAGCCGCGGUAAUACGUAGGGGGCAAGCGUUAUCCGGAUUUACUGGGUGUAAAGGGAGCGUAGAUGGUAUGGCCAGUCUGAUGUGAAAACACGGGGCUCAACCCCGGUA
rnacentral:rRNA from 1 species